rnacentral:rRNA from 1 species
AAGAAGCAAGACCGUGAGGUGGAGCAAAACUCAAAAACUUGUCUCAGUUCGGAUUGUAGGCUGAAACUCGCCUACAUGAAGCUGGAGUUGCUAGUAAUCGCGAAUCAGCAUGUCGCGGUGAAUACGUUCCCGGGCCUUGUACACACCGCCCGUCACACCAUGAGAGUUGGCAAUACCCAACGUACGUGAUCUAACCCGCAAGGGAGGAAGCGUCCUAAGGUAGAGUCAGCGAUUGGGGUGAAGUCGUAACAAGGUAAC